UAUUCUAGAGCUAUACAUGCAGGAACGCCCGACCCUCGCGGAAGGGCUGUAUUUAUUGGAUACAAAAACCAAACCUGGCAACAGGUUUCGUUUGUUGAUUCACAAUAACUGAUCGGACCGUUGCCUCGGCAGCGGCAGGUCAUUCAACAUUCUGCCCUAUCAGCUUUCGAUGGUUGUGUAGUGGACAACCAUGGCCGCAACGGGUAACGGAGAAUCGGGGUUCGAUUCCGGAGAGGGAGCUUGAGAAUUGGCUACCACAUCUAAGGAAGGCAGCAGGCGCGCAAAUUACCCAAUCCUGACUCAGGGAGGUAGUGACAAAAAAUAACAAUACCGGUUCUUGUUAGGACUGGUAAUUGGAAUGAGAACAAGUUAAACCUAUUAUCGAGGAUCCAUUGGAGGGCAAGUCUGGUGGACGAUUCGACAGUGUCUGUUUGCUGUUGGCGCCAGAGAUAGUACGGCUUCUCUUUUAAAGAAGUUAUGCGUGCUAGUCGAGCAGCCCAAUCUAGUUGUGGGUGGCUGCCGGCGAGGUAACCUGGUACGAGGAAGGCUAACGGAUUUUUGAUAAUCCUAUGCUAAUCUCGUGGCGAGCCUGUCCGAAGCGAUUCGGGCAUAGAGGCCGUCGUAACGCGCGGAAAGGUACCGGCGGGCUUCCACAGUCCGCUCAAGGAACGUGCUAAUCCCAUUCGAAAGAAUGCUGAUCGACUGGAGCGCCCACAACGCAAAGGACGAUCGGGGGUGUGUGCGCGUUUGAUGGAGGAAAUGCCAUCAGACGAGACCCGGUAUAUGUGGCCAGCAGCCGCGGUAAUACCAGCUCCAAUAGCGUAUAUUAAAGUUGUUGCAGUUAAAAAGCUCGUAGUUGGACUUGUGUGCCUGCGCGUGUUCAGCGGUCUGCGUUCAAAAGAGCGUUACGACAUGCGGCGCGCGGGCCGUACAAUCUUCAAC
rnacentral:rRNA from 1 species